CCUACGGGGGGCAGCAGUGGGGAAUAUUGGGCAAUGGGCGCAAGCCUGACCCAGCAACGCCGCGUGAAGGAAGAAGGCCCUCGGGUUGUAAACUUCUUUUGUCAGGGACGAAACAAAUGACGGUACCUGACGAAUAAGCCACGGCUAACUACGUGCCAGCAGCCGCGGUAAUACGUAGGUGGCAAGCGUUAACCGGAUUUACUGGGUGUAAAGGGCGUGUAGGCGGGAUGGCAAGUCAGAUGUGAAAUUCCAGGGCUCAACCCUGGAACUGCAUUUGAAACUGGUUUUCUUGAGUGAUGGAGAGGUAGGCGGAAUUACGUGUGUAGCGGUGAAAUGCGUAGAUAUACGGAGGAACACCAGUGGCGAAGGCGGCCUGCUGGACAUUAACUGACGCUGAGGCGCGAAAGCGUGGGGAGCAAACAGGAUUAGAUACCCGGGUAGUC
rnacentral:rRNA from 1 species